UACGGGGGGGGCAAGCGUUGUUCGGAAUUACUGGGCGUAAAGGGCUCGUAGGCGGUGUGUCGCGUCGGCCGUGAAAACCUGCAGCUUAACUGUGGGCGUGCGGUCGAUACGGGCAUCACUGGAGUUCGGCAGGGGAGACUGGAAUUCCUGGUGUAGCGGUGAAAUGCGCAGAUAUCAGGAGGAACACCGGUGGCGAAGGCGGGUCUCUGGGCCGAAACUGACGCUGAGGAGCGAAAGCGUGGGGAGCAAACAGG
rnacentral:rRNA from 1 species